rnacentral:tRNA from 1 species
GUCUGGGAUGGCAUUAUAGGAAAAGCCCUUGACUUUCAAUCAGAUGAUCCGAGUUCGAUCCCCGGUCUGGGCG